UAAGAUUUGAUUUAGGAUUUGGUUUAAGAUUUGGUUAGGAUUUAUUUAGGAUUUAGGAUUUAGGAUUUGGAUUAGGAUUUGAUUUAGGAUUUAGGAUUUAGGAUUUAGUUUAGGAUUUAGUUAGGAUUUGGUUAGGGUUUUAUUUAGGGUUUAGGAUUUGGUUAGGAUUUGGUUUAGGAUUUAGGGUUUGGAUUAGAGUUUGAUAUAAGAUUUAAGAUUUGGUUAGUAUUUUAUUUAGGGUUUAGGGUUUGGUUAGGAUUUGGUUUAGGAUUUGGUUUAGGAUUUGGUUUAGGGUUUAGGAUUUGAAUUAGGGUUUGGUUGAGGGUUUAGGAUUUGAAUUAGGAUUUGGUUAGGAUUUGAUUUAGGAUUUAGGAUUUGAUUCUCAAGCAAGACUUCACAUAUUACGACAAUAUCAACUUUAUUUUAUUAUAAAAAUCCAAGUCAUCUAAAAAUAAUUUGACUUUGUAAAGCUCUUACAAAGUCAUAACAAAUCCAAAUCAUCCAAAACUAAUGCUCAUAGAAACCUUAUUUAGUCUACUAUCAAAUUCCAUUCUUUGAUUUGCAAAAGAACCUUGGAGUCAUCAUCUAGACUCGAUUUUGUGCCUCUCAGUCUGAUUUUGAUCCAAAUUAAUAAUUGGCCCUCUUCGGGUAUCAACAUCUAAUUUUUCUAAGUAGAUUU
rnacentral:lncRNA from 1 species